ACCGAGUGGCGUAAGGGUGAGUAAUGCAUUGAUAACCUACCUCCAAGAUGGGAAUAACAACGUUCCAAGCAAUUGGGGCUACCGAAAGGGUUGCUAAUACUCAAUAAAAUUAUUGUUGCUUCGGCAAUAAUAGUCAAAUAGGAGGAAUCGAAAGGUUUCGCUUGCUUGAAGAGGGGUCAAUGUCCUAUCAGCUAGUUGGUGGGGUAAUAGCCUACCAAGGCGAAGACGGGUAGCCGGCCUGAGAGGGUGGUCGGCCACACUGGGACUGAGAUACUGCCCAGACUCCUACGGGAGGCUGCAGUCGAGAAUCUUUCGCAAUGCCCGAAAGGGUGACGAAGCGACGCCGCGUGCGGGAGGAAGGCCUUCGGGUUGUAAACCGCUGUCGGGAGUUAAGAAAUGCAAGGAUGUUAAUAGCGUUCUUGCUUGACUAAGGCUCCAGAGGAAGCCACGGCUAACUCUGUG
rnacentral:rRNA from 1 species